ACGCACGCUGGCGGCGUGCUUCACCCCUGCCAGUCGCACGCUGAAGCUUGGUGCUUGCACUGGGUGGAUGAGUGGCGAACGGGUGAGUAAUACGUGAGUAACCUGCCCUUGACUCUGGGAUAAGCCUGGGAAACUGGGUCUAAUACUGGAUACGACAUGUCACCGCAUGGUGGUGUGUGGAAAGGGUUUUACUGGUUUUGGAUGGGCUCACGGCCUAUCAGCUUGUUGGUGGGGUAAUGGCUCACCAAGGCGACGACGGGUAGCCGGCCUGAGAGGGUGACCGGCCACACUGGGACUGAGACACGGCCCAGACUCCUACGGGAGGCAGCAGUGGGGAAUAUUGCACAAUGGGCGGAAGCCUGAUGCAGCGACGCCGCGUGAGGGAUGACGGCCUUCGGGUUGUAAACCUCUUUCAGCACGGAAGAAGCGAAAGUGACGGUACGUGCAGAAGAAGCGCCGGCUAACUACGUG
rnacentral:rRNA from 1 species